ACUCAAAUGAAUUGACGGGGGCCCGCACAAGCGGUGGAGCAUGUGGUUCAAUUCGACGCAACGCGAAGAACCUUACCUGGGCUAGACAACGGUGGACCGUCCUAGAAAUAGGAUUUUCCCUUCGGGGACUGCCGGUUCAGGUGCUGCAUGGCUGUCGUCAGCUCGUGCCGUGAGGUGUUGGGUUAAGUCCCGCAACGAGCGCAACCCUCGUCCUUAGUUGCCACCAUUCAGUUGGGCACUCUAGGGAGACUGCCGGCGUUAAGCCGGAGGAAGGUGGGGACGACGUCAAGUCAUCAUGGCCCUUAUGUCCAGGGCCACACACGUGCUACAAUGGGCGGUACAAAGGGUUGCAAACCCGCGAGGGGGAGCUAAUCCCAAAAAGCCGCUCUCAGUUCGGAUUGGAGUCUGCAACUCGACUCCAUGAAGUUGGAAUCGCUAGUAAUCGCGGAUCAGCACGCCGCGGUGAAUACGUUCCCGGGCCUUGUACACACCGCCCGU
rnacentral:rRNA from 1 species